rnacentral:rRNA from 1 species
UACGUAGGGGGCUAGCGUUGUCCGGAAUCAUUGGGCGUAAAGCGCGUGUAGGCGGUCCGGUAAGUCCGCUGUGAAAGUCGAGGGCUCAACCCUCGAAUGCCGGUGGAUACUGUCGGGCUUGAGUACGGGAGAGGCGAGUGGAAUUCCUGGUGUAGCGGUGAAAUGCGCAGAUACCAGGAGGAACACCAGUGGCGAAGGCGGUGCUCUGGGCCGGAACUGACGCUGAGGAGCGAAAGCGUGGGGAGCAAACAGG